ACUAGCUGAAUUUUGAAAAUAACAACAACAGAGAUGUUUUGCACUACCAAUCAUUGGAAUUUUAUAAAUUAGAUGAGAAAAAAAAUAAUGAUUUGACAUAGAAUGUCACAUAGUGACACGGACAAUGAUAUUUCCAUUGUCAUUAUAUUUAUUCAGAUGUAUAUUGAUGAAGGAAUGCAUAUGGAAACAGGAUGAAUAACCCUGAAGCCCUUCAGAUUGUACAAAAACUCCAAGUUCUGUGGGGCAUCUUGCUGAAGGACCAGUGGAACAGCCCAACUGUACGAGUCCAAGUGCAUGAGGUCAGAGGCAGGGGCGGCAGGAGAUGCUUUGUCCAGUUGGGCUGCUGGAAAAAGUUUGGUGACGUCCAAGAAGUCGUAAUUACAGCAGCAACUGAUGAAACAUAAGACAGCUGGGGAUAAGAAGAUUCAAACCGAAAUGAAAGAAGUAACACAGAUAAUAAAUUCAACAAAAGAAAAUGUCAA